rnacentral:rRNA from 1 species
ACGGUUCGCCGUCGAUUGGCUGUGGGAAGUUCGUUAAACCUUAUCAUUUAGAGGAAGGAGAAGUCGUAACAAGGUUUCCGUAGGUGAACCUGCGGAAGGAUCAUUAC